CGGACGGGUGAGUAACGCGUGGAUAACCUGCCGUAUACUGGGGGAUAACACUUAGAAAUAGGUGCUAAUACCGCAUAAGCGCACAGGUCUCGCAUGAGACGGUGUGAAAAACUCCGGUGGUAUACGAUGGAUCCGCGUCUGAUUAGCUUGUUGGCGGGGUAACAGCCCACCAAGGCGACGAUCAGUAGCCGGCCUGAGAGGGUGAACGGCCACAUUGGGACUGAGACACGGCCCAAACUCCUACGGAAGGCAGCAG
rnacentral:rRNA from 1 species